rnacentral:rRNA from 1 species
CCUACGGGAGGCAGCAGUGGGGAAUAUUGCACAAUGGGGGGAACCCUGAUGCAGCGACGCCGCGUGAGUGAAGAAGUAUUUCGGUAUGUAAAGCUCUAUCAGCAGGGAAGAAGAUGACGGUACCUGACUAAGACUCCCCGGCUAACUACGGUCCAGCAGCCGCGGUAAUACGUAGGGGGCAAGCGUUAUCCGGAUUUACUGGGUGUAAAGGGGGCGUAGGCGGCAGGGCAAGUCGGGAGUGAAAGUCCGGGGCCCAACCCCGGGACUGCUUUGGAAACUGCCAUGCUAGAGUGCAGGAGAGGUAAGCGGAAUUCCUAGUGUAGCGGUGAAAUGCGUAGAUAUUAGGAGGAACACCAGUUGCGAAGGCGGCUUACUGGACAGUAACUGACGUUGAGGCUCGAAAGCGUGGGGAGCAAACAGGAGUAGAUACCCUGGUAGUC